GCUGUGAGAGCGGGAGCCAGACGCAGCCUCCUCACUCUCUCCGCUCUGUAACAUUACUCUCCAGCCAGCGCGGCUCCUAUUGGCUACCGCCAACUCACGGGGCUUGCUCAUUGGCCCGAUACCUCCCAUUGUCCUGACCAGAGCCCGCUUGCUAUUGGCUGUCUCCGGGGACACGUCAUCAAGGAUUGAAACAGCGCGCAAAUCUGAAUGUGUGUGUAUGCCGGGCAAAGAGGCUGAGGCGGGAGAGGCAGAGGCAGAGGCAGCAGCUGCUACGGGAAAGCAGAGCUCUAUGGUGCCCUGCUUUUGAUGCUGUCGAAAUGGGCAAGUUCACGAAACCCGGGAAGGUAGUGCUGGUCCUGGCCCAGUGCUACUCCGGAUGAUGUCACCUCCCACCACCUCUACAGCCAUGCCCUGGUUGCUGUCCCCACUAAGUGACAGCUGCCAUAGGCAAGAAGAAAAUCACCAAGAGGUCAAAGAUCAAGUCUUUCGUGAAGGUUUAUAACUACAAUCACCACGCGGUACACUGUGGACAUCCAAGGACAUUUUCAGAGACCUGGCCCUGAAGUGCAAGGUCCACCAGGAGGCCGAGGUCAAGUUUGAGUAGAGGUAAAAGACAGGCACAAACAUGGCUGUCUUUUCCAGAAUCAUGGAACAAAUUAAGUUCGGCAACUGAGGCAUCACUGUAUUUAC